rnacentral:rRNA from 1 species
UACGUAGGGUGCGAGCGUUAAUCGGAAUUACUGGGCGUAAAGCGUGCGCAGGCGGUUUUGUAAGCCAGAUGUGAAAUCCCCGGGCUCAACCUGGGAAUGGCAUUUGGGACUGCAAGGCUUGAGUGCGGCAGAGGAGACUGGAAUUCCUGGUGUAGCAGUGAAAUGCGUAGAUAUCAGGAGGAACACCAAUAGCGAAGGCAGCUCGCUGGGACGGUACUGACGCUGAGGCGCGAAAGCGUGGGGAGCGAACAGG